UCGCCGGCCGCCUCUCUUUCCUUUUUUUUUUUUUUUUUUUUUUNCUUCCGUUGAUUCCUAUCCGAUCGCGAUGGCAACGAAGCACCUGGCUCUAUUUGCGACUCGGUCGGCGGUUUCAGUCACCAAGCCUCGAGGUUUUCGUUCCGGCUUGAUUGAUAGUCGCCGGUUUUCAACAGUGGAUUUCGAGAAGGAGCUUAAUAGGCUGAAUGAGGCCAUCGGAAAGCGUAAUGGUGAACGAGAAGCAAAUCUUUCAAGCUGGAGAAAGGAGUACGAAGAUAAUUUGAAUAAAAAAGUUUAAGGAGUUUGUUGAGAUUCAAAAAUCUCAAGAGCGUGAGAUCUACACAGCGGCAAUGAAUUAUAGCGAAAAUUUGAGGAUUGCACAUAAUCAGCUAAAGGAGGCGCUUAUUAGCAAGAAAUUAGCUAUCCGCCAGCUAAAUGGCGAGGUGUUUGGGAUCACUCUCAUGACUUUGGCUUCCUUAUAUUAAUAAAAAAGGAAACAGUGGGCUUAGAUCAAAAAUUUUGGUCUUGGGAUAGAACUGAUCCACAACGCAGUUCUUCUUUGUUUUCCGUGUUGUGAUUGGUUGAGAUAUUUUGGAGAGAAAGAAAAAUCUCUCAUCCUCUUCGAAAUCGAUGAUGGCUGAAGAAGUAGGCGCGCUCACAUUCCCGAUGUCGAGAGAAUCGGAGUCCGCUUCUCGACUCAAAACCAUAAUCUCCGAUAUGCUUCCUCGUUUCUCCGACGAUUACAUCGACGACGUCUUCUCAGUUCGUCAUCUUCUUUAAAUUUCAUUUUGCCUUCCUGUUCUAGAGACGACGAUUCUUAGGUUUUUAUUGUUUUCGAAUUCCUUCGUCUGUCUCGUUACUUGUGAAUUUUUCCCAAGGGAUUUGGUACUGGUGACUAUGUUUUGAUUGUUCGAUUUAAUUAAUUAUCGAUGAGUGUAUGUAAUCACUUUGUUUAGACUGGUUUCAACUUGUAGAAAUUGUAAUACUUGAACCGUGGGAGCAGAAAAUUGCAGGUUGAUGAUGCUUGAUUUGGUGUGAAGAUCAGGUGAUGAUGAUUUUCGUGUUUACUGAUGAAUCAGCUUGUUUCAGGAGUAUGUUACAGUCCUUGUUUGUAAUGGAAACCCGUCUUAGUUCUGUAUCGAUGAUAGAUGCUAAGAAGGAGAAGCAUCAGAUGUAAUGGGAACUGCUGAAUGGAGAGCCAUGAAGAGUCCAUCUUACUACAAGCGUGGUGAUUAUGUUCCUGGACUCAAGGUCAGCUUUUGAAUCUUCUUAUUUGUUUUAAGGAUUGAUGUGAGAGUUUUAAGAUGAGGGAGGAGAAGUUUGGUUGGCUUAUAUUAUCUUUGAGCAAAUGGAUUAGUUUCAUUUCCUGAAUCACAUGAAGUUCCUAGUUUUAAGAGUGACCGAUGUGAUCUCCAACGUCUCCCUUCCUCUUUUCCAAGUUCCUUCCUUUUAAGUCAUCUCAAUUUCAUCGCUCCAUUGUUCUUCAGGUAUCAAUUUUACUGCUGUGGAAAUUUUAGAGUAGGCGUCUCUGUUGAUUUAGAAAGUUAAGGAUUUGGAUACGACCCUCUUUGAUCUGACACCGGAAUGUUGGUGGGUUUCGAAUUUUCUCUGAUAAAGUGUCGAUCUUUUAGUUUUAAUUUUCUGGAUCGUUGUUGUCUUCUUCUCUAGUAGAAAGAAAGAACUGAUUACCAUUGAGUAUAUAUAUGUAGUUAUCUCUUCUUCAGCAUUUUCCUGCUGUUUACGUUUUUGGUGCUGCUCUAUGGAUCGAAUUGUAUCUACAAAGCCCUUUAAUUACUUUGCUGAUUGCGUUUUUCUGCAAAUGAGAUCAAAGCUCCGGGAUCUUAGAUGAUGAUCUGAGUUUUGAGGAAAGCUUUUAGGUCUGAUUCCAUACAAUGUUGGGGAUAUUAAGAGAUGUUGAGUAUGUUGGUCUUUUUCAGGUUCGUUAAAUGCAGAUUGUUGGACCGUUUAGUUUCAGAGUGGAGUCUGGAAUUCAGAUUGAUCUGAAGAAUGGAGCUAACCCCGUGACUGUAGAUAAGACAGUAUUUGCUAUGGAAUAUGCUAUUCAAGUGCUUGCUUCUCCCAAGGCUGUUGCUUGGUUCUCCCACAACAGAAAGAAUUCAUGGUUGAGCUUCGUUUCUUUGAGAUAUAGUAUCAGGACUUUCCACUCAAAAUGUCUAGCUUGAUCCUAUGAAGAUUGUAGUUGUCUGCAGAGAAGUAACUAGACAAUGGUUGAUUUUUUUUUCAGUUUCUUAUGUUAAACAGAUGAAUGAUUUAAUAGAAAGGAAGUUUACAUCUUACAUUAUUUCACUA